rnacentral:rRNA from 1 species
ACAUGCAAGUCGAACGAUGAAGCAUUCUUCGGAAUGUGGAAGAGUGGCGAACGGGUGAGGAACACGUAAGAAUCUGCCCCUCAGUCGGGGACAACCCUUGGAAACGAGGGCUAAUACCCGAUAUGCUGUGGAGUGAAAGAAUUUCGCUGAGGGAUGAUCUUGCGUCUGAUUAGCUAGUUGGUGUGGUAAUGGCACACCAAGGCGACGAUCAGUAGCUGGUCUGAGAGGAUGAACAGCCACAUUGGAACUGAGACACGGUCCAAACUCCUACGGGAGGCAGCAGUGGGGAAUUUUCCGCAAUGGACGAAAGUCUGACGGAGCGACGCUGCGUGAAGGAUGACGGCCUGCGGGUUGUAAACUUCUUUUCUCGAAGAAGAAGCUCUGACGGUAUUCGAGGAAUAAGCAUCGGCUAACUCCGUGCCAGCAGCCGCGGUAAGACGGAGGAUGCAGGUGUUAUUCGGAAUGAUUGGGCGUAAAGAGUCUGUAGGCUGUAUGGAAAGUCUUUUGUUAAAUGCCUC